AAUCAACGCUGGCGGCGUGCCUAACACAUGCAAGUCGAACGAGAAAGUGGAGCAAUCCAUGAGUAAAGUGGCGACCGGGUGAGUAACACGUGACUAACCUACCCUUGAAUGGGGAAUAACCUUCCGAAAGGAGGGCUAAUACCGCAUAAAGUCCUGAGGCUGAAAUGCCAUUGGACCAAAGGAACAAUUCGUUUAAGGAGGGGGUCGCGGUUGAUUAGCUAGUUGGUGGGGUAAUGGCCCACCAAGGCGAUGAUCAAUAGCCAGCCUGAGAGGCCGCACGGCCACACUGGAACUGAAACACGGUCCAGACUCCUACGGGAGGCAGCAGUGGGGAAUUUUGCGCAAUGGGGGAAACCCUGACGCAGCAACGCCGCGUGGAGGAUGAAGGUCUUUGGAUUGUAAACUCCUUUCGAUCGGGAAGAUUAUGACGGUACCGGAAGAAGAAGCCCCGGCUAACUUCGUGCCAGCAGCCGCGGUAAUACGAAGGGGGCAAGCGUUGUUCGGAAUUAUUGGGCGUAAAGGGAGCGUAGGCGGUUCGGCAAGUCUCUAGUGAAAUCUCUGGGCUCAACUCAGAGUCUGCUGGGGAAACUGCCGGGCUGGAGUAUGGGAGAGGUGAGUGGAAUUCCUGGUGUAGCGGUGAAAUGCGUAGAUAUCAGGAGGAACACCUGUGGCGAAAGCGGCUCACUGGACCAUUACUGACGCUGAUGCUCGAAAGCUAGGGGAGCAAACAGGAUUAGAUACCCUGGUAGUCCUAGCCCUAAACGAUGAUUGCUUUGGUGUGGUGGGGUACCCAAUCCCCACUGUGCCGCAGCUAACGCGAUAAGCAAUCCGCCUGGGGGAGUACGGUCGCAAGGCUGAAACUCAAGGGAAUUGACGGGGGCCCGCCCAGGCGGUGGAGCAUGUGGUUCAAUUCGACGCAC
rnacentral:rRNA from 1 species